GGUACGAUUUGAUCGAUCGACCUACACCAAAUUUUGUUCUUCUUUCUCCGUUUGCGUUUUCUUCUCUGAUGGAUGGAGUUCAAAUUGGUGGUCGCGGCGCGUUAUAUAUAUAUGCAGGGGAUGAGAAGAAGACGGGGCUACUGACGGGGCUGCCGGGCGCGACGGAGCGGCUUGUUCUGUUCGAGGCGGACAUCUACGACGCCGCCUCCUUCGAGCCGGCCAUCGCCGGCUGCGAGUUCGUCUUCCUCGUCGCCACCCCACUGCAGCACAACGCCGGCACCUCCAAGGUAAUUUGAUUCAUUCACUCGUUAAUUUUUUUUAGCCAGUCGAAGAAUCUGUCAGUCCAUUUUCUGAUUUCGCAGUACAAGGACACGACGGAGGCGCUGGUGGACGCGACGCGCGCCAUCCUGCAGCAGUGCGAGCGGUCCAAGACGGUGAGGCGAGUCAUCCACACGGGCUCCGUUCUCGCGGCGGCGCCGCUCCGGGAGGACGGCACCGGGUUCGAGGACUUCGUCGACGAAUCCUGCUGGACCCCGCUCGGACUGCAAUACGACCACAGCAACGAGAUAAUGGACGUGAGUGCGCUAAUUCCUCCUGUCACAUGUUUAUGGCCUGAUACCGACACGGCGACACGGCGACACCUUUCAAGUAUGUUUUCACAAAAACACGGCGUUUAUUAGAAAUUGCUGAAUGAUAGAUUCCACUAGGCAUAGGCCGGCACAGCAAGGUCAGGGGUUGACAAAAUAGGCAGCGGCGGCUGGGCCGAUGGGCGGCGCAAAGAAAAAGAAUAGAGAAAAGGGCCACAAAUGUAGAUCUGAGGCCCGCCCAAAGCCAGGAGGCCAACACAAAGUCACAAAAGAAGAACGGAAGGUCCUCUCAAAAAAAGAAGAAGAACGUAAGGUAGACUAGAACGAAAGACGGAAAGAGGUUGCAUAAGAACUCGGAAUUAAAAUUAUGAAUUUGGAAUUAAAAUUCGGACUGCUCAGAUAGAAACUAGUACUACUCCAUUCCGUACAGUAGUACUUCCUCCGUUUCAUACUUCUUGUCGAAAUUUUAUAUGUAUCUAGACGCUUUUUAAGAAUAUGUACAUCCAUUUUUGGACAAAUUUGAGACAAGAAUUAUGAAACGAAGGGAGUACUUCUUACUGCUCCUUAAGGCUUAAUUGAUCACGUUUGACUUCCAUGAAUGGACGCACGUGCAGGCUUACAUACCAUCCAAGACCCUGUCCGAGAAGGAGCUACUGAAGCACAACUCCGAGGGCGAGUCCACGGCGUUCGACGUCGUGGUCCUGCUGUGCGGCCUCGUCGGAGGGGACGCCCUCCUGCCGUAUGUCCCCGACAGCAUGCAGGUUGUGAUAUCGCCCCUCACUGGCAUCGGGCCCUACCACGGCUCCCUCAAGUUCAUGCAGGCCCUCCUGGGCUCCGUGCCGCUGGUCCACGUCGACGAUGUCUGCGAAGCCCACGUCUUCUGCAUGGACUCCGCCAAAGUCUCUGCCGGCGGCGGCAGGUUUCUCUGCGCCACGGCGCGGCCCAACAUGGAAGACAUUGUUAAGCACUACGCGGCCAAGCACCCGGAGCUCAAGCUGCUGAUCCCAGAGUACGUGUAUAUAGACGCGAAUGAAUUCAGUGGUUUUAACAUCGAUUACUUUGUGGUGGUUAAUGUGUUUUGGUUUUGUGUGUGGGGUUGUUGGUAUUAGGGUCGUUGGAGAGGGGGUGAGCGUGCAGGCUAACACGAACAAGCUUGUGGAGAUGGGCUUCGAGUUCAAGUACGGAGCAGAGGCGGUGCUGGAUGGCAGCGUGGAGUGCGGCAAGAGGUUGGGAUUGCUGUGAUAUGCCUCCACGCAUGACGACAUAUUGUUGGGUUUGAAUGAAGAAUUGUACUACAGUUUGAUUUGAAUAUAUUGUCACACUCACACCCAUGACAUAUUGUCUCGGGUUGUUCGUUUGCAUCCUUCCGAUAUCCUAGUGCUUUUUUAGACGUUUUGUAUUUGGUGUUUUAAUUUUUCAAGAAAAACCAAAAGGGCCUCAACUGAUAUGUCGAAAUAUGCAGGUAAGCAAAAACCAGACGCGGAGGGUACAAAACCCGAUCGGUAAGUUGAUAAUAUGAUGAAAACCACACAAAAGUAUGGGCACCACAAAUGCACCUCGCCCCGCCGCAAUUUAAGAAUUUGGGGUACGUGACGCCGUUGGGUUGUCUCAGAUUUGGUGGCGGCGGAGCUUUAUGGUGGUCGGUAGCGAUGGAUUUGAGAAAAUUGCGCCGUGGCGAACGAGGGGAGGUGAGGGCAGAAAUGAAGGGAUCGUCGGGUAAAUUAGCCCCUGAGCCCUAUAUAUGAUGUGCAUGAGGGCCGAUUUAGGUGCCCGUAAAAAUUUAUACAUGCUGAUCAAGUUUACAAGCACAGGCUGCACCAUAUUUUACGUCGAAACCCUUAAACUUUACAGGUCGGGGCUAAAAGUGAUAUAAGAUCCGCUAGAGAUGCUCUUGUGAAGUACACUGUCUCUUGUGCGGUUUGAGUUUGACCAACUCCAGCCAUGCACUACGGCAGGGCACGUGACCUGAUAGUACCUCGCAGCCACGAGACACAUUGGUGUAUCGGACAACCACACAGCCCAUUGUUAUACACCGAGAUUCAAUAAUGUCUUAGUUAUCUUGUUCGCAAAAAAUGUAUAAAAGAUAAAUGGACACAUUUGGGCACUGGGUCAUGAAGUACUGUGACUGUGAGGAUAUGAAACCGGGACACUUGGGUGCUGGAUCAUAAACCGUGACUGUGAGGACGUGAAGCGGCCGGGACCGGGGAUAUGUGUCCUCGUACAUGAAGAUGUACCAGUCAAAGACUCGUACAGUAUAAAAUUUGACCCAAUCGACCACAUGAUGUCUAAUUCAAGCCACCGAAGCGGAUUUUGCGCAUAUUAUAUAUACGUCACAUCGAUCCUUGACUUAUCAAAGUUCAGGGUCAGCAAGACAAUCAGCUAUACAGGACAACUUUUGUGAUGCAUGCUAGAUCUUCCUGCCCCCAACGCACGUCGUUGACUCGGGAAUAAAUCUGCCUAUUUAACUUGCCACUCAGUACGCCGUUGGAGUGAAUCAGCAUAUAAGAUAAGAUUAUAGCUGUCAAAAAGAUUAGCGGGGAUGAUUAACCCCCCGGGAACCAUGUGGACAUGUUGUUGGAAUCUCCAGCUAGCACCCUACGUAUAGGCGGCACUCGUAUGGUAAUUAACUAGAUUGCGCCUUAGCCGCCAGGCACAUUAAGAGUAAUCAAAUGAUCGAUCAGCACCAGAUAGGACGAACCGACGGUAGAUCCUCGUUUCACUUUCAUGACGAUCGUCCUCAGCUAGCUGGAUCUAUGAAAUCAAAACGCGUGCAACCCAAAUAAGUCGUUAAUUCGAUCGUCAGUCGUCACAAGAUCUAGGAUAUACUCCUAUAUGGGAUUAUGGAUACCACCACUUGUACACUUGCUUAAUUUGUACACUUGGUUUGACAUCUCAAAUUAAGCUUGAUGUCUUGCGGGUGUAGGCAUGCACAGAAAAAUGUAUUGUUUCCUUUUCUUCUUCGAGACUCGAGAGGUACAUGUAAUGUAGCUUAGUCCACAUUAUACAGUUUGGAGUAGACUUUGGACCUCAGGAUUUGCUUUAAUAUUAGCACGUCCACUUAACGACCUCUGUCGGAAUAACCGGACGAUGUAUGCGUCAAACUGCAAGCCAAUCAUGCAUGCACUGAUGUACGUAGCUGCAUGACCAUUCGGUGGAUCUCAUAUCGUAUGGAUUUCUUGAAAACCCAGACCUUAGAUGCCGGGUCGUCGAUCACCAAUUUUAGACUUGCGAUGCCAUUAAAGUGGACCACACGUCGUACACAUACUAUAAUGUUAUACAAAUGAUUAACCAACCAUUAUAACGCAUAAGCAUAGCCUACACAAGCAUGAAAAUCCGCCAAAUGGACUAGCAAAUAAUAAUAAUAAUGCCAAUUUAACCCAUCAGCCCCUCCAAUCUCAACGUAGAUAACCUUUCAUAUUUUGUCGGAUGCAGGUUAAGUGGAGUCUGACAAAAAAUAUUGAAGAUUGGAGAAAUCAAUUAAGCGUAGGUCCUAGCAUUUUUACAAUUUUUACUCUCAACCCAUAGGCGGCUGGGCCAAACAUGUCAUUUGGCCCAAGAGAAGGGCGAGGUCCUUACGGGGCUGCCCAAAUAACAUGCUUUGUCGUCUUAGGUUUCACACUCGGCAAAGAGUUUUCUUUUCGUUGGCCUCCCUUUUUAAUUUUUGUUAAGCAUAGUACUAUUUGUCCCAAGUUUAUGUAUCCAAAGUAAGCGGGUGGCUAUCUUUAAGUCGUCUGAUUUUUAAGAAAUGAGUCUUAAAUAUCAGUCGACGUUUCUAAACCGCUGGGUUAAUCGUUGGAUUGAGAUCCGAUGGCUAACAUAUCAAUUAAUCUCUGCCUAAAAAUCAAGCGACUACUCCAGCCACGGGUGCACAGCUGUGCAGGUUACUCUGCUGGGUAGUUUCGGUACAAUAUGCGGUGAGUUUACGCACCUUCUGUCGUCACAUGCCUGGCACAUAUAUAUUGUUCGGAGAAACUGCAGCGCUCGAUCUUUACAAAGUCUCUGUACCGGCCUCCCGCAAUCCGCGAUGGUGGUGCCUUGAGGAGAACAACAUCCAGGAUUAAUAUAUGGGUUAAUAUGGUAAUAUAUGGCCAUCGUGUCGUGAGUCCUGACGUGCAGCACCGCCCGGCCUGCGCUUACACAUCGGCGUACUACUGGUACUAGAAAACUCAGGUCUUGGCCCACGCAGCUAGCGCGCUCACUUACUUAAAGCGGCAGGAAGUGCCGAUCCAGCAGGCAGUGACCAGAAGAAAGAGCGAGUAACACAGCAGAAAAGAGAAGAGACUGAUCGAGGCCGGAGAUCAUGAGCAGCCGGGUGUGCGUGACCGGAGCCGCCGGCUACAUCGCGGCCUGGCUCGUCAGGAAGCUCCUGGAGCGCGGCUGCGUCGUCCACGCCACCUUGCGGAACCUCGGUACGUGCUUGCCCGUGUAUUAUACAAACAUCGAUCGCUGUCGUGUCAGCCGAUCGAUCUCGCCAAUUAAGCUCUGGAUUGUAAGCUGCAAGUAAACUGAAAGAAGAACGCAUGAUUAAUUUGAUCCAUGUAUGCCGACAGGGGAUGAGAAGAAGACGGGGCUGCUGAGGGAGCUCCCUGGCGCGGCGGAGCGGCUGGUGCUGUUCCAGGCGGACAUCUACGACGCCGCCACCUUCGAGCCGGCCAUCGCCGGCUGCGAGUUCGUCUUCCUCGUCGCCACCCC
rnacentral:lncRNA from 1 species